UACGUAGGGACCAAGCGUUGUUCGGAUUUACUGGGCGUAAAGGGCGCGUAGGCGGCAAUUCAAGUCAGCUGUGAAAUCUCAGGGCUCAACCCUGAAACUGCAUUCGAUACUGCCUUGCUCGAGGACUGGAGAGGAGAUUGGAAUUCACGGUGUAGCAGUGAAAUGCGUAGAUAUCGUGAGGAAGACCAGUGGCGAAGGCGGAUCUCUGGACAGUUCCUGACACUGAGGCACGAAGGCCAGGGGAGCAAACGGG
rnacentral:rRNA from 1 species